GAGUUUGAUUCUGGCUCAGAUUGAACGCUGGCGGCAUGCUUUACACAUGCAAGUCGAACGGCAGCGCGGGCUUCGGCCUGGCGGCGAGUGGCGAACGGGUGAGUAAUACAUCGGAACGUACCUGGUAGUGGGGGAUAGCUCGGCGAAAGCCGGAUUAAUACCGCAUACGACCUCAGGGUGAAAGCGGGGGACCUUCGGGCCUCGCGCUAUCAGAGCGGCCGAUGGCAGAUUAGCUAGUUGGUGAGGUAAAGGCUCACCAAGGCGACGAUCUGUAGCUGGUCUGAGAGGACGACCAGCCACACUGGGACUGAGACACGGCCCAGACUCCUACGGGAGGCAGCAGUGGGGAAUUUUGGACAAUGGGCGCAAGCCUGAUCCAGCAAUGCCGCGUGUGUGAUGAAGGCCUUCGGGUUGUAAAGCACUUUUGUCAGGAACGAAAAGGUCCGUGCUAAUANCCAUGGGCCGAUGANCGUACCUAAGNU
rnacentral:rRNA from 1 species